GCCUAUUCCUAGGGCAACCUAUGCAAACCGGUCGUGUGGAAUUGGACGUAUUCAGUUUAGCGCUCUGAAUGGAGGCCCACAUCUCCGGAAGGUGAAGCUCGUUCUCCCGAUUGGCGAAGAUUGCACACUCAGCGGGGCCAGUCAUUGGCCACACCCAUGAGUGGAGUUUCUGAUGAUGGCACUUAAACACAGUGCUGAUGCAACUCUGAUGACAGA